rnacentral:rRNA from 1 species
CAUAGGUUAAUGAGGCGAACCGGGGGAACUGAAACAUCUAAGUACCCCGAGGAAAAGAAAUCAACCGAGAUUCCCCCAGUAGCGGCGAGCGAACGGGGAGGAGCCCAGAGCCUGAAUCAGCAUGUGUGUUAGUGGAAGCGUCUGGAAAGGCGCGCGAUACAGGGUGACAGCCCCGUACACAAAAGCGCAUGUGCUGUGAGCUCGAUGAGUAGGGCGGGACACGUGGUAUCCUGUCUGAAUAUGGGGGGACCAUCCUCCAAGGCUAAAUACUCCUGACUGACCGAUAGUGAACCAGUACCGUGAGGGAAAGGCGAAAAGAACCCCGGCGAGGGGAGUGAAAAAGAACCUGAAACCGUGUACGUACAAGCAGUGGGAGCACCCUUUGGGGUGUGACUGCGUACCUUUUGUAUAAUGGGUCAGCGACUUAUAUUCUGUAGCAAGGUUAACCGAAUAGGGGAGCCGGAGGGAAACCGAGUCUUAAUUGGGCGUUAAGUUGCAGGGUAUAGACCCGAAACCCGGUGAUCUAGCCAUGGGCAGGUUGAAGGUUGGGUAACACUAACUGGAGGACCGAACCGACUAAUGUUGAAAAAUUAGCGGAUGACCUGUGGCUGGGGGUGAAAGGCCAAUCAAACCGGGAGAUAGCUGGUUCUCCCCGAAAGCUAUUUAGGUAGCGCCUCGUGAAUUCAUCUCCGGGGGUAGAGCACUGUUUCGGCUAGGGGGCCAUCCCGGCUUACCAACCCGAUGCAAACUGCGAAUACCGGAGAAUGUUAUCACGGGAGACACACGGCGGGUGCUAACGUCCGUCGUGAAGAGGGAAACAACCCAGACCGCCAGCUAAGGUCCCAAAGUCAUGGUUAAGUGGGAAACGAUGUGGGAAGGCCCAGACAGCCAGGAUGUUGGCUUAGAAGCAGCCAUCAUUUAAAGAAAGCGUAAUAGCUCACUGGUCGAGUCGGCCUGCGCGGAAGAUGUAACGGGGCUAAACCAUGCACCGAAGCUGCGGCAGCGACGCUGAUGCGUUGUUGGGUAGGGGAGCGUUCUGUAAGCCUGUGAAGGUGGCCUGUGAGGGUUGCUGGAGGUAUCAGAAGUGCGAAUGCUGACAUAAGUAACGAUAAAGCGGGUGAAAAGCCCGCUCGCCGGAAGACCAAGGGUUCCUGUCCAACGUUAAUCGGGGCAGGGUGAGUCGACCCCUAAGGCGAGGCCGAAAGGCGUAGUCGAUGGGAAACGGGUUAAUAUUCCCGUACUUGGUGUUACUGCGAAGGGGGGACGGAGAAGGCUAUGUUGGCCGGGCGACGGUUGUCCCGGUUUAAGCGUGUAGGUGUGUGUUCCAGGUAAAUCCGGUUCACUUUAACACUGAGGCGUGACGACGAGGCACUACGGUGCUGAAGCAACAAAUGCCCUGCUUCCAGGAAAAGCCUCUAAGCAUCAGGUAACAUCAAAUCGUACCCCAAACCGACACAGGUGGUCAGGUAGAGAAUACCAAGGCGCUUGAGAGAACUCGGGUGAAGGAACUAGGCAAAAUGGUGCCGUAACU